UACGAAGGGGGCUAGCGUUGCUCGGAAUUACUGGGCGUAAAGCGCACGUAGGCGGCUCUUUAAGUCGGGGGUGAAAUCCUGGAGCUCAACUCCAGAACUGCCUUCGAUACUGAAGAGCUUGAGUCCGGGAGAGGUGAGUGGAACUGCGAGUGUAGAGGUGAAAUUCGUAGAUAUUCGCAAGAACACCAGUGGCGAAGGCGGCUCACUGGCCCGGUACUGAC
rnacentral:rRNA from 1 species